rnacentral:rRNA from 1 species
UAGGGGAGCGGGAGCUUACCAUGCAAGUCGAGCGCCCUUUUCGGAGGGAGCGGCAGACGGGUGAGUAACGCGUGGGAAUCUACCUAUCUCUAGGGAAUAACUCAGGGAAACUUGUGCUAAUACCCUAUACGUCCUUCGGGAGAAAGAUUUAUCGGAGAUGGAUGAGCCCGCGUUGGAUUAGCUAGUUGGUGGGGUAAAGGCCUACCAAGGCGACGAUCCAUAGCUGGUCUGAGAGGAUGAUCAGCCACACUGGGACUGAGACACGGCCCAGACUCCUACGGGAGGCAGCAGUGGGGAAUAUUGGACAAUGGGCGCAAGCCUGAUCCAGCCAUGCCGCGUGAGUGAUGAAGGCCCUAGGGUUGUAAAGCUCUUUCACCGGUGAAGAUAAUGACGGUAACCGGAGAAGAAUCCCCGGCUAAUUUCGUGCCAGCAUCCG